rnacentral:lncRNA from 1 species
AGAAUACAUGGCUCUCAUACCACUCUGGAGGAAAGGGUAAUUCACUCUGGCCAGACUCAGUCACAGUUCCUUCAUGCCAGGGCUCUCGCAAAUUCCCUACACUGAGAGCUUGCAGCCCUUCUGUUUUCUCUGCCAGCUGCUGGAUGAAGUCUAUAUGAUGAGCCAGUAGACCCUCACGGGACAGCAGAGAAAGCCGUUGGAAUGUUUCACUAGCCAGACCACAUACAAUAGGUACCCUGCAGCUAACAAGAGGAGCCUCUUCCAACGACUAAAGGAAGUUCAUGACCGCUUAGUCGCCAACAUUUUAAAUUGCAACUGUAAUUUAUGGGAGAUUUCCCUUUCCUGUCAUCUAUGCUACAACGGAGGUACCAAAUGACAGGGCUCAUGAAAGCCAGAAAACUGGCAGCAAAGAGUCCCCAACUCAGAGGAAGAAAAUGUAGUUGCUGUGUGUACUGCCCUCCUAAUGACCUCAACCUCUGACAGGAAUCAGUGAGGGAGAAAGAUAUUUCAGUGCCCAAGCAGGCUCAGACAGCAAGGUCACAGAUUGCAAUGUAACAGAAUAUCAGGGAUACAUGAGCCCAGGAUUUCCCAUCGUUUCAAAGGCUUGUCAGCA